rnacentral:rRNA from 1 species
GCGGUAGAGGAGCAUUGUGUGAGGGCAGAAGCAGUAUCGAGAGGCACUGUGGACUUCACAGAAGAGAGAAUGCCGGUAUGAGUAGCGAGAGCCAUGCGAGAAACAUGGCCGUCGAAAGCCCAAGGUUUCCUGGGGAAGGUUCAUCCACCCAGGGUUAGUCGGGGCCUAAGGCGAGGACAGAAGUCGUAGCCGAUGGAGAGCUGGUGAAGAUUCCAGCACCGCCGAGGAAUGAGGCAGUGACACAGGAGGAUAGUCGGAGCGUGGUGAUGGUCAACCACGUCCAAGCACUGAGGCUGGUAAGUAGUGAAGUACGCUUACUAAGGCUGGGGUGUGAGGGGGAGCGAAAUAAAGUAGCGAAGUCGACGAGUUCACACUGGCGAGAAAAGCUGCUAGUAUAUCCGAAGGCGCCCGUACCGGAAACCGACGCAGGUGGGCGAGGAGAGAAUCCUGAGACGAACGGGAGAACCCUUGUUAAGGAACUCGGCAAAAUGACCCCGUAACUUCGGGAGAAGGGGUGCCACGAAAGUGGUCGCAGAGAAUAGGCUCAAGCGACUGUUUAGCAAAAACACAGGUAUCUGCGAAAGUGAGAACUGACGUAUAGGUGCUGACGCCUGCCCGGUGCUGGAAGGUUAAGGGGAACUGUCAUCGCAAGAGAAGCAGUGAACUGAAGCCCCAGUAAACGGCGGCCGUAACAAUAACGGUCCUAAGGUAGCGAAAUUCCUUGUCGGGUAAGUUCCGACCCGCACGAAUGGCGUAACGACUUGAGCGCUGUCUCAACAGGGGGCCCGGUGAAAUUGAAGUAUGUGUGAAGAUGCACAUUACCCGCGACUGGACGGAAAGACCCCGUAGAGCUUUACUGUAGUCUGACAUUGGGAAUCGGUAAUAGAUGUACAGGAUAGGUGGGACGCUGGGAAGUAGGGACGUCAGUCUCUAUGGAGCGGACGUUGGGAUACCACUCUUCUGUUACUGGUUUUCUAACAAGGAUCCGUGAAACCGGAUAUUGGACAGUGUCGGAUGGGCAGUUUGACUGGGGCGGUCGCCUCCGAAAGAGUAACGGAGGCGCCCAAAGGUUCCCUCAGAAUGGAUGGAAACCAUUCGAAGAGUGCAAAGGCAGAAGGGAGCCUGACUGCGACACCGACGGGUGGAGCAGGGACGAAAGUCGGGCUUAGUGAUCCGGCGGCAUUGAGUGGAAAAGCCGUCGCUCAACGGAUAAAAGCUACCUCGGGGAUAACAGGCUGAUCUCCCCCAAGAGUCCACAUCGACGGGGAGGUUUGGCACCUCGAUGUCGGCUCGUCGCAUCCUGGGGCUGAAGCAGGUCCCAAGGGUUUGGCUGUUCGCCAAUUAAAGCGGCACGCGAGCUGGGUUCAGAACGUCGUGAGACAGUUCGGUCCCUAUCCAUCGUGGGCGUAGGAAUCAUGAGAGGAGCUGCUCCUAGUACGAGAGGACCGGAGUGGACGUACCACUGGUGCAACUGUUGUCCUGCCAAGGGCACAGCAGGGAAGCGAAGUACGGAAGGGAUAAACGCUGAAGGCAUCUAAGCGUGAAGCCCCCCUCGAGAAGAAGAUUCCCAUUCCUAAAAGGAAGUAAGACCCCUCAAAGACGAUGAGGUGAUAGGUCAACGCUGGAAGCGCAAAUGUGUGGAGGUUGUUGAUACUAAUAGGUCGAGGGCUUGAUCU